UGUCCAUCUGAUGAGUUAAGCCUUUUUCAACUGAUUUUUAUAGUUCGUUCUUAUGUUGUACUGUUAUACCACUGUCCAAGGUUAGGGGAGGGUUGGGAUCCCGCUAACAUGUUUAACCCUGCCACAUUAUUUAUGUAUGUGCCUGUCCCAAGUUAGGAGCCUGUAAUUCAGUGGUUGUCGUUUGUUUAUGUGUUACAUAUUUGUUUUUCGUUCAUUUUUUUACAUAAAUAAGGCCGUUAGUUUUCUCGUUUGAAUUGUUUUACAUUGUCUUAUCGGGGCCUUUUAUAGCUGACUAUGCGGUAUUGGCUUUGCUCAUUGUUGAAGGCCGUACGGUGACCUAUAGUUGUUAAUGUCUGUGUCAUUUUGGUCUUUUGUGGAUAGUUGUCUCAUUGGCAAUCAUACCACAUCUUCUUUUUUAAAUGUUAAGU
rnacentral:lncRNA from 1 species